rnacentral:rRNA from 1 species
CUGGUGGGAUGACGGUACCCAAAGAAUAAGCACCGGCUAACUUCGUGCCAGCAGCCGCGGUAAUACGAAGGGUGCAAGCGUUACUCGGAAUUACUGGGCGUAAAGCGUGCGCAGGUGGUCUUUUAAGUCCGAUGUGAAAUCCCUGGGCUCAACCUGGGAACUGCAUUGGAUACUGGGCGACUAGAGUGUGGU